GUGGGGAAUAUUGGACAAUGGGCGAAAGCCUGAUCCAGCCAUGCCGCGUGUGUGAAGAAGGUCUUCGGAUUGUAAAGCACUUUAAGUUGGGAGGAAGGGCAGUAAGUUAAUACCUUGCUGUUUUGACGUUACUGACAGAAUAAGCACCGGCUAACUUCGUGCCAGCAGCCGCGGUAAUACGAAGGGUGCAAGCGUUAAUCGGAAUUACUGGGCGUAAAGCGCGCGUAGGUGGUUUUGUACGUUGGAGGUGAAAUCCCCGGGCUCAACCUGGGAACUGCCUCCAGAACUGGAAGACUAGAGUACGGUAGAGGGUAGUAGAAUUUCCUGUGUAGCGGUGAAAUGCGUAGAUAUAGGAAGGAACACCAGUGGCGAAGGCGACUACCUGGACUGAUACUGACACUGAGGUGCGAAAGCGUGGGGAGCAAACAGGAUUAGAAACCCGUGUAGUCC
rnacentral:rRNA from 1 species